CUCCCGCCGGAGAUCGGGUUAUAUCUCCACCUCCCUGUUGGACUUGCCCGGGCUUCGUGCCCGGGCUUUUUU
rnacentral:ncRNA from 1 species